rnacentral:rRNA from 1 species
CAAUAGCGUAUAUUAAAGUUGUUGCGGUUAAAAAGCUCGUAGUUGGAUUUCUGCCGAGGACGACCGGUCCGCCCUCUGGGUGAGUAUCUGGCUCGGCCUGGGCAUCUUCUUGGAGAACGUAGCUGCACUUGACUGUGUGGUGCGGUAUCCAGGACUUUUACUUUGAGGAAAUUAGAGUGUUUCAAGCAGGCUUACGCCUUGAAUACAUUAGCAUGGAAUAAUAAGAUAGGACCUCGGUUCUAUUUUGUUGGUUUCUAGAGCUGAGGUAAUGAUUAAUAGGGAUAGUUGGGGGCAUUCGUAUUUAACUGUCAGAGGUGAAAUGCUUGGAUUUGUUAAAGACGGACUACUGCGAAAGCAUUUGCCAAGGAUGUUUUCAUUGA